rnacentral:rRNA from 1 species
AUUGAACGCUGGCGGCAGGCCUAACACAUGCAAGUCGAACGAGUGGCGGACGGGUGAGUAAUAUAUCGGAACGUGCCCAGUAGCGGGGGAUAACUACCCGAAAGGGUGGCUAAUCCCGCAUACUAUUGGACCGGCCGAUACCGGAUUAGCUAGUUGGGGGGGUAAAGGCUCACCAAGGCAACGAUCCGUAGCUGGUUUGAGAGGACGACCAGCCACACUGGGACUGAGACACGGCCCAGACUCCUACGGGAGGCAGCAGUGGGGAAUUUUGGACAAUGGGGGAAACCCUGAUCCAGCCAUCCCGCGUGUAUGAGAAGGCCUUCGGGUUGUAAAGUACUUUUGGCAGAGAAGCGGUAUCUGCAGAAUAAACACCGGCUAACUACGUGCCAGCCGCCGCGGUAAUAC